rnacentral:rRNA from 1 species
UGUCGUCAGCUCGUGUCGUGAGAUGUUGGUUAAGUCCCGCAACGAGCGCAACCUUGUGUUUAGUUGCAAACAGGUCAAGCUGUGCACUCUAGACAGACUGCCGUGGACGAACACGGAGGAAGGUGGGGAUGACGUCAAAUCAUCAUGCCCCUUAUGAUCUGGGCUACACACGUGCUACAAUGGCCGGUACAACGGGCAGCGAAGGAGCGAUCCGGAGCGAAUCCUAAAAAGCCGGUCCCAGUUCGGAUUGCAGGCUGAAACUCGCCUACAUGAAGUUGGAGUUGCUAGUAAUCGCGAAUCAGAAUGUCGCGGUGAAUGUGUUCCCGGGUCUU